rnacentral:rRNA from 1 species
GAUCCUGGCUCAGGACGAACGCUGGCGGCGCGCCUAACACACGCAAGUCGAACGAGAGAGAAGGAGCUUGCUUCUUCGAUCGAGUGGCGAACGGGUGAGUAACGCGUGAGGAACCUGCCUCAAAGAGGGGGACAACAGUUGGAAGCGACUGCUAAUACCGCAUAAGCCCACGGGUCGGCAUCGACCUGAGGGAAAAGGAGCAAUCCGCUUUGAGAUGGCCUCGCGUCCGAUUAGCUGGUUGG